CGUUUUAUGGCUGAAUUGGUAAUGGCAUUGCCGAUUACAGGCGAGCUUGCGGGUUCGAGUCCCGUUGGAACGA
rfam:Operophtera brumata OBRT01_Sc02173, whole genome shotgun sequence.